AGCUGCUUGGAUGUGAGAGGUGAGGACAGAACGGGGAGUCUGGAAGGACUCCCAGGUUUCUGGCUUGGGUGGCCGGUGGAGCCAGAGAAACAGCAUGAGAAGCUGGUCAUUGUGGGGACACUGAGUCUGAGGACUAUGGAUUUUCUUUGGUCAGCUCUGCCCUGUGCAUUCCUCAAUUUGGUCCCGUCACAUGUGAUAUAAGACGCUCAGUUCCUAGAAGAGCUCUUUGUCUCCUUUCACAGAUGGAGAAACUGAGCUUCCGAGAGGAGAUGUGGUCCCAAGGACACCUCAGU